CUAAGGUCCCAAAGUUCUGGUUAAGUGGGAAACGAUGUGGGAAGGCUCAGACAGCUAGGAUGUUGGCUUAGAAGCAGCCAUCAUUUAAAGAAAGCGUAAUAGCUCACUAGUCGAGUCGGCCUGCGCGGAAGAUGUAACGGGGCUCAAACCAGGCACCGAAGCCGCGGAUUCACGCUAAGCGUGAGUGGUAGGGGAGCGUUCUGUAAGUCUGCGAAGGUGUGUCGAGAGGCAUGCUGGAGAUAUCAGAAGUGCGAAUGCUGACGUAAGUAACGAUAAAGGGGGUGAAAAGCCUCCUCGCCGGAAGACCAAGGGUUCCUGUCCAACGUUAAUCGGGGCAGGGUGAGUCGACCCCUAAGGCGAGGCCGAAAGGCGUAGUCGAUGGGAAGCAGGUUAAUAUUCCUGCACGACUUGUAAUUGCGAUGGGGGGACGGAGAAGGCUAGGUGGGCCAGGCGACGGUUGUCCUGGUGAAAGUGCGUAGGUGGUGUUUCUAGGCAAAUCCGGAGACACAACACUGAGACACGAGACGAACGCACCACGGUGCGGAAGCCAUUGAUGCCCUGCUUCCAGGAAAAGCCUCUAAGCUUCAGAUUACAAGUCAUCGUACCCCAAACCGACACAGGUGGUCGGGUAGAGAAUACCAAGGCGCUUGAGAGAACUCGGGUGAAGGAACUAGGCAAAAUAGAACCGUAACUUCGGGAGAAGGUUCGCUCUUGAUGGUGAAGUCCCUUGCGGAUGGAGCUGUCGGGAGUCGCAGUGACCAGAUGGCUGGGACUGUUUAUCAAAAACACAGCACUCUGCAAACACGAAAGUGGACGUAUAGGGUGUGACACCUGCCCGGUGCCGGAAGGUUAAUUGAUGGGGUUAGCGCAAGCGAAGCUCUUGAUCGAAGCCCCGGUAAACGGCGGCCGUAACUAUAACGGUCCUAAGGUAGCGAAAUUCCUUGUCGGGUAAGUUCCGACCUGCACGAAUGGUGUAACCAUGGCCACGCUGUCUCCACCCGAGACUCAGUGAAAUCGAAUUCGCCGUGAAGAUGCGGUGUACCCGCGGCUAGACGGAAAGACCCCGUGAACCUUUACUACAGCUUGGCACUGAACAUUGAACCUACAUGUGUAGGAUAGGUGGGAGGCUUUGAAGGCGUGACGCCAGUUGCGCUGGAGCCGUCCUUGAAAUACCACCCUUGUAUGUUUGAUGUUCUAACGCAGGGCCCUGAAUCGGGCUCGCGGACAGUGCCUGGUGGGUAGUUUGACUGGGGCGGUCUCCUCCCAAAGAGUAACGGAGGAGCACG
rnacentral:rRNA from 1 species